rnacentral:sRNA from 1 species
GCUGGGCAUGGUGGCGCAUGCCUGUAAUCCCAGCAGCUCAGGAGUCUGAGGCAGGAGGAUUAUGAGUUCAAAGCCUGCCUCAGCAACUUAGUGAGACCCUAAGCAACUCAGUGAGACCCUGCCUCUG